rnacentral:rRNA from 1 species
GAGUUUGAUCGUGGCUCAGAUUGAACGCUGGCGGCAUGCCUUACACAUGCAAGUCGAACGGCAGCAUGAUCUAGCUUGCUAGAUUGAUGGCGAGUGGCGAACGGGUGAGUAAUACAUCGGAACGUGCCCUGUAGUGGGGGAUAACUAGUCGAAAGAUUAGCUAAUACCGCAUACGACCUGAGGGUGAAAGUGGGGGACCGCAAGGCCUCAUGCUAUAGGAGCGGCCGAUGUCUGAUUAGCUAGUUGGUGGGGUAAAGGCCCACCAAGGCGACGAUCAGUAGCUGGUCUGAGAGGACGAUCAGCCACACUGGGACUGAGACACGGCCCAGACUCCUACGGGAGGCAGCAGUGGGGAAUUUUGGACAAUGGGCGAAAGCCUGAUCCAGCAAUGCCGCGUGUGUGAAGAAGGCCUGGUGUAAG